rfam:Rattus norvegicus chromosome 1, whole genome shotgun sequence.
UGUGCAUUUAGGAAAACAAAACCAUUCUGUGUCAUAUAUGAGUCAGUAGGUGGCAGAAAGGAGAGGGGCUAUGUCCCCUCAAUGUUCUGACCUAUGAACACCAGAAUGAUUAGUAGCCUAAUAGU